rnacentral:rRNA from 1 species
AAAACUUGGGUAACAUUCUCAAUACAAAUAUUCUUAUUGCAUGCCAGCUAAAGUAGUAAAUUAUUGGUUUUCUCCUAAGACCACUGUUUAAUUGGGGCGAUAA